AGCUUUUCAUUCUAACUGGAAUACAUCCAGCAUUCUGAUGAGUAGAAAACAUACUUUAUUUUGUCUGAAUCUGGGCUAUUGCUCAGUUUUUCUUAUUUCUGCCCUGCCCAAAGUAUGGGGGUGGAGGGCUCUCUCGAAGCGUUGAGGUGGAGGAGUCCAGAUCUGCAUGGUUUCCAUGGUGAUGCCACCUGCCCACCUGAUCACGGUGCAUCUUCUUCAUCAAGGAGGAGGAGGGCAGAGGCAGGCCACUGAUGGAUUGGUUCUGUAUGCACAUACCACCCCAUGACAUGUUUUGAAUCUGGCUGAAAAUUCAUCUUGGGGACCAUCUGAGUGAAGAGAGCCCAGUGCUGAGGAGAACACAUGGAUCAAAUUUGACAAAGGAAGAAGAAUUCCUCCAACAAAUGUCAUCUUGUGUUUGCUGAAAGAAUGCAACAGGGUUUCCAGAAGUGGAGUUGGAACAGGUGGGGACUCUUGUGCCCUUAGUGGCCAGGCUCCUGUCUCAGCUCCAGGAGGACACUGAGGAAUUAACUCCAUGCAGUCCACUAGGUAAGCUCCCUUGCUGAGCUACUCAUUUAUGGGAAAACAUUGCUUAUAUGUCAUAUAUAUAUAUAUACAUGCUGCAUGACAUAUAUAUUGAGUAUGCAUUUUAGACCACUUGGAUCUAUCCUAAGAAAUUCGUUAAAUCUUA